rnacentral:rRNA from 1 species
GCAGGCUGCAACUCGCCUGCAUGAAGUUGGAAUUGCUAGUAAUCGCGAAUCAGAAUGUCGCGGUGAAUACGUUCCCGGGCCUUGUACACACCGCCCGUCACACCAUGAGAGUCGAUAACACCCGAAGCCUGUGAGCUAACCGCAAGGAGGCAGCAGUCGAAGGUGGGGUUGAUGAUUGGGGUGAAGUCGUAACAAGGUACC